UACGGGGGGGGCAAGCGUUGUUCGGAAUUACUGGGCGUAAAGGGCUCGUAGGUGGCCAACUAAGUCAGACGUGAAAUCCCCAGGCUUAACCUGGGAACUGCGUCUGAUACUGGAUGGCUUGAAUUCGGGAGAGGGAUGCAGAAUUCCUGGUGUAGCGGUGGAAUGCGCAGAUAUCAGGAGGAAUACCCAUAGCGAAGGCAGCUCGCUGGGACGUUACUGACGCUGAGGCGCGAAAGCGUGGGGAGCGAACAGG
rnacentral:rRNA from 1 species